GCUACGGGUGGCAGCAGUGAGGAAUAUUGGUCAAUGGACGCAAGUCUGAACCAGCCAUGCCGCGUGCAGGAAGACGGCUCUAUGAGUUGUAAACCGCUUUUGUACGAGGAUAAACGCAGAUACGCGUACCCGUCUGAAAGUAUCUUACGAAUAAGGAUCGGCUAACUCCGUGCCAGCAGCCGCGGUAAUACGGAGGAUUCAAGCGUUAUCCGGAUUUAUUGGGUUUAAAGGGUGCGUAGGCGGUCGGUUAAGUUAGAGGUGAAAUCCCGAGGCUCAACCUCGGAACUGCCUUUGAAACUGUUAGGCUAGAGAGGGGGUGCGGUAGGCGGAAUGUAUGGUGUAGCGGUGAAAUGCUUAGAGAUCGUACAGAACACCGAUUGCGAAGGCAGCAUGCCAAGCUAAUUCUGACGUUGAGGCACGAAAGCGUGGGUAGCGAACAGGAUUAGAUACCCGGGUAGUC
rnacentral:rRNA from 1 species